UGGAUCCGUGCUAACACAGGUCAUUCACUUUAUUAUAAAUAACACGAGGGACAAUUAUUUUAACAUCACAAAAUACACAACACACAUAUACACACAAAAAAUGAAAAUCAGCCGCACAUCUCACUACUGUUUCUCUCUCUCUUUCCUUCUAACCGUUGAUUCGCCGGAAUUAGUAACCGGCUGGUUCAGCUAGUCGCCACCGGAGCCAACCACCAGCCGUGCCUUCCGUUUUCCCUUUCCCUUUUUUCCCCGUUGCCCGGCAACCCACAAACCUCCACCGUACCGCCACCACGAACCAACAGUGCCGACGCCAUAUCCGGCGAAAUGCACCGCUCCGAUGGACCAUAAACUGCAGCAACAAACCGUAACAUAAUCCAAGGAACAUUUUCCAUGACUCUGAAAUUUCUAGAUCUAAACAUAAAAUCAAAUUCUAACCAAGUUUAGAUGGCCCUUGGCUUGUUUCUCAAUGAAUCUUUUAAAUUUUUGCUCUAUUUAUUACGUUUCACAUCUGGCCUAAGGUUUUAACUCCGGCAAGUUGCUAUUAUUUUAUGUUAAGAUUAUUUGGAUUUACUAUAUGCUUAUUGAGUUAAUUUAUUUAUCUAGUUAGUCGUUUGUUUAUUUUUUCAUUUUGCUUGAUUAAUGUUGUAAAUCCUUUAACUCUAAUGGUUAGCCUUGUGAAUGUUGAUAAAUUUGUUUGUUCCAUUUGUCUGUGAAUUUGCUUUUGAUAGUUUUCUUUUCCUUCUUUAGGGUUCGAUGAAGAAAUUCUCCCCCAUUUUCGAGGCCUCUCUAAAUAAAAAGAUGAAUUUUACGUAUAAAAUAUGUAAUAAAAAAAAUAGGAUGAUGACGAAAUUUUUAUAAUAAGACAAAAAAUUAAAUGAUUCGUAUCUUGUUAAGACGAUUUAGGAUAAUAAAUAAAUUGAACAAUCAUUUUAUAGCCAUGACGUAUCUAAAAUUUAAUCUGAAUUCACACUUUUAACAAAAUCCUAUAUAUAUAUAUAUAGUUGUCAGUUUAUUUCGAUAAUUAUUUAUUUAUUCCUCACAUUUUUACCAUGAGUUUUUGUACAAAUUUUCAAAAACACUUAUUGAAAAUGAUACUCAAGAAGAGAGUUUAAAUUUUUUUGGUUUGUGUUUUUAUAUUUUUAUACUUGUACAAAUAUUAUUUACAGUGAAAAUUUUAUAUUUUUAAGGUGUUGGACGGAGUAUUUUUUAUUUACGCAAUUCUCAUUAUGUGUUUAGGCAAAUUUAGGCCGUUAAUAUUUAAAUCAAUUUAGAUAUUUAAUCAAAUAAUUCAUACUUUUUACAUUAAAAAAUAUUACGGAGUCUUUUUCAUUGGAAUAAUUUUUCUUUAUUCAAUCUUUUCUUUACAUACAUAUGCUUAUAUACUUUUGUUUAUAUAUAUUUUACGAUAGCAUACACAUUAUACAUAUUUUAUAUUUGUAAAUUUUUAUAUUUGUAUUUACAAAUAUUAAUUUUUUCUUUGCCUCCUUUAAUAAACCUAAGUGUGGCCGGAAAUCACAUUUGUGGAUUUCGAAGGAUGUCUAACCUCUUCCCUUCAAAAUAAUUUGAAUCUUACCUAGAAUUUAAAUUGAUUUCGUAGAUUAAAAUAAAAGGCAUACAUGUUAAUAUAUAAAUAGGUUUUCUGAUUUUCCUUAAAAAUUAGGUGACAACUCUGUACAAAAUUAAUUCUUUUAGAGUCUAGAUAUCGUACUUGUUUUAACCUAGAUAAAAAUGGGGUAUGACAGUUUGACGAUUCUAAACGGGAUUCAAGGUUCUAACCAUUACAAAUUAAGAUAAAUAUUAAUAUUUUUUUACACAUUGUUAUUUGUUUUGAUUUAUCAUAAAGGCAUAAAUUAUUUAUUUGCUAUUAUUUUGUAUAAAUUAUUUAUUUGUUUAUCGCUUUAUAUAAAUUGAUAUUCCGUUCAUAUUUUCUUCACUUCAGAAAACUGACACUCGCACACAUUGUACACGCGUAUUGUACAUUAUAUUUUUUCAAAAUUCUUUCAAAUUACCUUACUUUAAAGAGUCGGCGCAUAUGUGGGGUGAGCCGGAGUUUUACUGUCGUGGGACUACAUGCCUUCUCAUAUAGAAAAUUUAAGUUCGUGUCUACCCACACUUAGUUAAACAUAGGAUAGAACUAAACCAAUACUUUUUAGGUACAUGCAUCAUCAAUCAACUUUAUCCAAAUGCCUAAAGAAUUCACGAUCCAAGUGAUACAUUAUUGUAGUCUCUUUGUUAUAAAUUGGUUAUUCUUUAGUGGGAAGAUGUAAUCUAACCUUUUUUUGCAUCGCGGACCAGUUAAAAGAUACACCUUAGCAACAUUGUCGAUAGUUGUGUAUAGAUUUGAACUAUGUUUUAAUCUGAUUCUUGUUCUGACAAGAUACGUAGACAACCUUGUAUUAGAAUUCGAUCUCUUCAUUGUUUUAGAAUAAUUUCUUCGGUGUUCAAAAUUGGGGCAAUUUUCUAGAACAGUUCAAAAACAUUCUCCAAUGAUUUUCAAGAGCGCAAACUAAUAGCUCCACAAAUUCAAAUAACAUUAGUGCCUAACCAGCCUACCUGCAGAUCCUCACUAAAUUUUAUAAUGUAUCGAUCCUCACUCUUGAAAGCGAGGGUUCAACAGUCUUUCAGUAAAUAGCAAUCCUGCUAACUAAGACAAAAUAAUGACAUAACUUCUUCAACGCCUGAGCUUUUCAAUCUUUUCAACACAUUGAAGUAGUCAAAGCUCUCCUCAUGCUUGACAUCCUCUCAAUUGUCUGAUCAGAAUAAUUUUGAUGUUAAAAAUAGUUUCUUCUUUGUCGUCCUCACAUGAUCAUUUUUUUAUCAUACAUGGAACAUACAAAUUCGCAAAUUUAUCUGAACUAUGCAGAUCUGAUUCUUGUUUUUAUAAAAUAGGUAAUCCUCAUUUGGAUUCGGUCCCAUUCUUUUCAAAACAAAAUAAAUUUUGAUUUAGUUGGUAUCCAUACAGUUAGGAGUGGCAUGAGAAAGAAUAAAUUAGUAUGAUAAAAAGGACUGACUUCAUAAUAAAUCAUAAAUUUUUUUGGUGUCUUUUAUCACACCUGAGUAACACUUAAAAAAUUUUCUAGCAUACAUCUAAGACAAGAACGAAGUCAGUCUCAUCGUGUCAUGUGCAAUGUGUGGUGAACUUUAGUUUAAUUCAUUGCAUUGUUGAUCUAGAACUUAGCCUAAAUGUAUGUUGAGGCGAGUUUCUGAGUUAUACUUGAUUUAGGAAAGGACCAUAGGCCUUUUUUGAUCCGAUUUUGCCUUUCACAGCCCACCAAAUGACAUUAAUCCUAGCAGUCCCUCUUUUGAGCCUAAAAUCUUUUCUUCGGACAAUCGCAUCUGAGCCUAUAUCUUUUUUGAGUGCUUACAUGCACUAUUCCUUUCUUGAUCCUACUUCCUUAAGCACACUAAAUACGAACGAAGAUUCAAGAUCAAGACGCAAAAUGCAAAGGAUAUAUUAUCCCAAAUAAAAAAAACGACUUCAAAAGGAGCAAAAUCCCUACAAAAAAGAGAGAAGAAAAAAACAAAAAAAAUAUUUAAGGCCUGUUUGGACAUGAAAUUUUUUUCCUUUUUUCAGAAAUAAAUUUUUGAAGUAGGAAAUUGUGGUGUUUGGCCAUGAAAAUUCGAAAAAUUAUUUCAAAAAAUUUUUCUGAAAAGGAAAAACAGGCUUUUGUUGUUUUCAUAAUUUUUCAACUCCAAUUUCAAUUUUUAUCAUUAUUACAUAUAACCCCAAUCUUUUAAAGUUUUACAUAAAACUCUCCUUAUAACAUUACUUUUUUAAUAUUACGUAUAUAGCAGUUUUAAAGAAUAAGAUAAUUAUAAUUUCAAACUUAAUGCUAUCCUAAUUAAUAUAUAUCUCUUUUUCUCUCUCAUCAUUAUUUUUAUCCCUUAUUUAAUUUUCUCCCUUAUUUAAGACAUUAUUUUACUGCUAAUUUAUAUUUAUAUCCAUAAAUAUAUAAAGUAUUAUAUUUAUAAUAGAAAUAUACAAAGUAUGUUAUAUAUAAAGUUUAUACCAUGNNNNNNNNNNNNNNNNNNNNNNNNNNNNNNNNAUCAUAAAUAUGCAAAGCGUGUUUUACAUAGAAAUAAUUUAUUCACACACAGUAAAAUCUUUCAUGUAUAAGAAAACUAAGGAAAUAAAUUAGCGGCACCCUAAAAUUUAAUAACAACUCAUCAUUUUCUAUUUUUUAGGAACGAAAAAUGAAGGAAAUAAAUUAAAUAAAUUCCUAAAAAAAUAAAUUUGUUUGAAAGAUAUAUAUUUGUUACCUAACAAAUAGGAAGCAGUGAUCUGUUAAUAUAAUAUCCAUAUUUAAAAUUUUUAAAUAUGAGAAAACGACUAUUAAUGUAAAUAUUAUAUAUGUCAUAAUUGAAAUUCAUUAAAUAUGACCAUGUAUAUGUAAUUAUUUUUAUAACAGUGGCUAAUUGUGUUCUUUUUCCAUUAAUAGGUAAAUAUUAGUUGGGUGAUUUUUAUAAUUUGUAAAAGUUAGGGCAUAAAAUCAUAUUUAAAUUUUUUUUUUUUUCAAAAGUAAAAAAAAAUAUUUGAAAAAGAUAUGGCCAAACACAAAUCCAACUUCAAUUUCAACUCCAACUCUGAAAAUUUUUAAUUUUCAUAGCCAAACGGCUACUUAAUUUCUUGGAAAAAAGGGGAGAAAACUCCAACACAAGAUUAAAAAAAAAGUCGAAGCAAAUACAAAACAAGGGGCGGCAAAUCACAACUAAGAAGAUCAUGCGUCAAAGCGCAAUAAAUGUCGAAAACAUAAAUACAGUGUAAUGCUCAUUGGGCAAUUAGUCACUUCCAUCCCAAAUAUUAUCCACCUCUUUCCCAAGCCUAUAUUACAAGUCGAUAGCAAGUCCUACGAUAUCCUAUUCUAAGUAUUCUCACAUUAGUGGAUACUUACAUGAAGGUCAAGCCUAUGGUUCACAAUUGCAUGCAAUGAAUUUCUUUUCGAGUGUGAGUGUAUUUCUCUAGAUGUUCAAAAUUUCAAAUAAAAAAUUACUCAAAUAUAUGUGAAAUGAGACUUUUAUUCUAGGAAAGAGCGCUUGAAACACGAGGGCAGGUGUAGCUUGAAAUCUUUGUUUGAAGCAAAACGAACAAAUCUUGUUGAUACUUAGUUAUGUCUGAGUUAUCACUUGAAACUAUAGGAGUUACCCUAAAGUUGAUUUCGAUUUUUCUGGGAAGGAGAUUGGGAAAUUCUUAUGCGCACUACUAAUUAUUGGUACCGACUGAAAUCAAGACACGAUUGUGUCUUCUUCAUCUUUCAACAUUUUUUAUCGAGAAAAUACAAUUCUUUUUCUUUUUUCAAGACGUUCAUUUUCAUAUACGAGCAUUUUUUACCUUUCAUUCAAGGUGUCCACUUUCACAUACAUGCAUUUUUAUUUUUUAUUUCAAGAAUCCAAUUUUUAGAAUAUAAGCAUUUGACUUUUCUUUUCAAGCACAUACCUUUAAGUAUCGAUAUUUUAUUUUUCAGUCAAGUGUCCAUCUUUGAGUAUUUCUAAAUUUUUUAUAGUUUCACUAAUCAAGAGGCUAUUGCAUUUGUUCUCCUAGUCAAGAAACUUUUACAUUUCAAUAGUCCCAUCAAUUGAAAGGCAAUUAGAUUUCAGUCACUCCACUAGUCGAGGGCCUUAGUCUUUGUAGACAAUCAAAGACGACAAUAAGCAUCAGUCUCCAUAAUAUUUAUCUUUUUUUUUGUCUUUACUCACAAUAUAUCGCAAUGCAUUUAUUUUAUCAUUUAACUACAUGCUUGAAGCACCGCGUGUAAUAUUUGUUUUUGCUGACACAUGUCGCAAUGCAUUUAUUUUAUCAUUUAAGCACCGCAUGCUGUCUUCGCAUUUACUUACAUAUCUCGCAGAAACAUUUAUUUUUAUCAUUUAAACACUACAUGUCAUCCUUAUCUUUACUUCCACAUAUCGCAAUUCAUUUAUUUUAAACAUGUACACUAGCUUUGACUUUACUUGCACAUAUUGCAAUGCAUUUAUUUUUAUCAUUUAAACAUUGCAUGUCAUCCUUGCCUUUGCCUGCACUUAUUGCAAUACAUUUAUUUUAUCAUUAAGCACAACAUAUCAUUUUUGUCUUUACCUGCACAUAUUACAAUACAUUUAUUUUAUCACUUAAGCACUGCAUUUUAUCAGAAGAGAAGCGGGUAAACAGGAAAGAGUACAAGCUAGCGAGGAAGGAGGCUAAGUCAGCAGUCACAGCAGCUAAGACGGCCGCCUUUGAGAGCUUGUAUGCAGGGUUACAGGGGAAGGGAGGGGAGAAAAAGUUGUUUAGACUCGCUAAGGCUAGGGAGAGGAAGGGUCGUGACCUCGAUCAGGUGAGGUGCAUUAAGGGGGAGGACGGCAGAGUGUUGGUGGAGGACGGCCACAUUAAGAAUAGAUGGCAGUCGUACUUUCAUAGGCUCUUGAAUGACGAAGGGGAUAGAGCUAUUGUGUUAGGGGAACUGGAGCACUCUGAGGAGUGUCGGGAUUUUAGCUAUUGUAGACGUUUUAAGGUAGAAGAGGUUAGACAGGCUGUUCGCAGAAUGCGAAGGGGUAGGGCGACGGGGCCGGAUGAGAUACCGGUGGAGUUUUGGAAGUUCGUUGGAGAGGCUGGUGUUAGGUGGUUGACUGGAUUGUUUAAUGAAAUCUUCAAGACGGCAAAGAUGCCCGAGGCUUGGAGGUGGAGCACCAUGAUACCUCUCUAUAAGAAUAAGGGAGACAUCCAGAGUUGUAAUAACUAUAGGGGGAUUAAGUUAUUGAGUCACUCUAUGAAGAUCUGGGAGAGAGUGGUCGAGGUGAGGCUGAGACGGAUAGUGUCUAUUUCAGAAAACCAGUUUGGAUUUAUGCCUGGCCGCUCGACGACGGAGGCAAUUCACCUGGUACGGAGGUUGGUGGAACAGUAUAGGGAGAGGAAGAAGGACCUGCACAUGGUGUUUAUCGACCUGGAGAAGGCCUACGACAAAGUCCCUAGGGAGGUGCUUUGGAGAUGCUUGGAGGUGAGGGGAGUACCGCUGGCAUACAUCAGAGCAAUCAAGGAUAUGUAUGAUGGAGCGAAAACUAAGGUGAGGACGGCGGGAGGAGACUCAGAACAUUUCACGGUCCGGACAGGGUUGCAUCAGGGAUCUACUCUUAGUCCCUUUUUGUUUGCAGUGGUAAUGGAUGUGUUGACGCGGCGUAUUCAAGGGGAGGUGCCGUGGUGUAUGCUUUUUGCAGACGAUGUAGUUCUGAUAGCUGAGACCCGAGAGGGUGUGAGCGACAAAUUAGAGGUGUGGAGGCAAACCCUUGAGUAUAAAGGGUUCAGGGUGAGCAGAAGCAAGACAGAGUAUGUGGAAUGCAAGUUUAAUGACAUGAGGAGGGAGAACGAGGUAGUAGUGAAGCUGGAAUCACAGGAGGUAGGUAAGAGGGAGAGUUUCAAGUAUCUCGGGUCCGUGAUCCAGAGUAACGGUGAGAUUGAUGAGGAUGUCUCGCACCGUAUUGGGGCGGGAUGGAUGAAGUGGAAGCUCGCGUCAGGGGUGCUGUGUGAUAAGAAGGUGCCGCCUAAGCUUAAAGGCAAAUUCUACAGGGCGGUAGUCCGUCCGGCCAUGUUGUAUGGAGCGGAGUGUUGGCCAGUGAAGAACUCCCACAUCCAAAAGAUGAGGGUGGCAGAAAUGCGGAUGUUGCGCUGGAUGUGUGGGCUGACUAGAGGGGAUAGAGUUCGGAAUGAGAACAUCCGGGAGAAGGUUGGUGUGACACCAGUGGAGUGCAAGAUGCGGGAAGCCCGAUUGAGAUGGUUCGGACACGUGAAGAGGAGGGGCAUGGAUGCCCCGGUCCGUAGGUGUGAGAGGCUAGCGUUGGAUGGGUUUAAGCGGGGUAGGGGUAGGCCGAAGAAGUACUGGGGUGAGGUGAUUAGGCGAGACAUGGAGCAGUUACAGCUCACCGAGGACAUGACCCUAGAUAGGAAGGUCUGGAGGACGCGAAUCAGGGCAGUGGACUAGGGCCAGUCUGAGUAGAGAUACUGGAGAGAAGUGAUUAAACAUGACAUGGAGCAGUUACAACUCACUGAGGACAUGACUCUGGAUAGGAAAUUAUGGAGGAAUAGCAUUAGGAUAGAGGGCUAAGGGGGUGGAUGAGUCGUAGUCAGUAAUUCAGUGGACUUUGUGUCCUUUGUUUGACGAGGUUCAAAUUUUUGUAGAUGUCGUACCUAUGUUAUUUUAGUGUGUUCUAUGCUUUUGAUGCUUUUGUAUACUCCUUGUAUCCUGAGCCGGGGGUCUAUCGGAAACAGCCUCUCUACUUCUCUAGAGGUAGUGGUAUGGACUGCGUACACACUACCAUCCCC
rnacentral:lncRNA from 1 species